UACUAGAGGUACUUAAAGCUGUUUUGGCUGGUACACUAAAUUCAAAAUACUUGAGAGAAGUUGGAAUUUUCCUUCCAAUUGCAAUGGGUUGUCACAGGAAGGGCUCUGGCAAGUUACACUGCCAUUGAAAUUGAAGUUUGGAUUCCAAAGAGAAAUUCUGAAGA